rnacentral:lncRNA from 1 species
GGGAGCUCCGCCCGGCUCCUGUGGAGGAAGCGGCGAGGGCGAGCCGCGGGGUCUCGGCGCCUCUGUAUGCUUGCACUUAACGAGAACCCAGAGCGAACACGACCCACAUUUCUCUUUUUGUUUUAAGAGGAAAUAUAGGAGUUACAGCAUAGAAUUACAAUAUCUGGACAUUAGAAAUAACAGGUCCCGGUCACGGUAUGGCACCGCGCGACACACUUGGUCCCUGAGGCCUGGAUGCCGCUCAGCAAACGUUCGCGGAAUAGGGUUGGGUUUACUGUCCCCCACCGAGCCGGUUGCUCAUUCAUUCAGCAUAAUUGAAUACCUCCUGUGUGCCAGGCACUGAAUCAAGUGUCGGAGACAAUGUCCUGCCCUCAAGCUCCUGGCCGGUUACUUGACAACCUUCCGGGACCUCAACGCUAUGUGCCUACUGUGUGAAAGCAAAGUGCCAGGUGGAGGACACAAAGAUGGCGAGCGACACAGGAUAGUCCUUAACAAUUAAGCGUGACUAAUUUUAAUAACAAAUGAGAAUAUGAUGUGACAUCCGUUCCAAAUCCUGUCGUUCCAAGUAACUUCUUAAGCAUCUUUCACGAUACAGCCUCUGCUUGAAAGGAAUUAAAACAGGUACAAGCAUGGAAGGAGACGUUGCUAUCAUAUUUCAAGAAUAAGAAAAUGCUGUUUUGUGUGGUUGUGCAGCAGGCAAUGAAAUGAGCUUACAUUCAAGCUUCCGUGUUUUACUGAAACAACAGUCACAGAUGCAGUAGAUGUUAAAGGUUGAAAGACGAGUGCAGUAAAAGCAUUAUGAGGACAAGAAGAAAACGUAAAUAUUUGUGUUGUUUCAUUCUUUGUUGUGGUGGCAGAAACAGCCCCCUCUUUCUAAGGUAACUCCAAUAUAAUGAUCUCUCCCAGCUUUGAAAUACUCCAUGUCUGUUUCAUUUUCCAGAAAUAUGGAAAAAUGAAUAUAUAAUAAAAAACCCUAUUUCUCAUUUAUUGUCUAUUUUAGAUCUUUAUGUGGAAAAGCACUUACUCUCUUCCCAGAGCACUGUUUUUAAAGUAGGUAUAUUUGCCAUAACCUAUGCUCGUCUCUACAAAAGGAUCACACCACCGUGUCCACCAUUAAAGGGGAAAUUCUUUAAUGGUGGACACAGUGGUGUCCCUGAAUCCUCAUCCUCAAGUGUUUCAAUCUUCCCAGUCUUGGGAAAACAACAAUGUUACUUCUUUCUUUUGCACCCUCUGUAGCUGUAAUCCUGUUUCCCCAUUCUCCAUAAAAGACUUACCUUAUUUUCAUAUAUCCUUAUUCUUAGCCUUUGACACUUUUUUUUUUGAGACAGAGUUUUGCUGUGUCACCCAGGCUGGAGUGCAAUGGUGUGAUCUCAGCUCACUGCAACCUCUGCCUCCUGGGUUCAAGGAUUCUCCUGCCUCAGCCUUCCAAGUAGCUGGGAUUACAAGCAUGCAUCACCACGCCCGGCUAAUUUUUUAUAUCUUUAGUAGAGACAGAGUUUCACCAUGUGGGCCAGGCUGGUCUCGAACUCCUGGCCUCAAGUGAUCCGCCUGCCACAGCCUCCCAAAGUGCUGGGAUGACAGGUGUGAGCCACCGCACCCAGCUGAUUCGCUUUCUUUACAGAGAAAAUAUAAAUCAUCACUCUGUUUGGCAGAAGCCUCUUCAACCAAAUUUCCUUAUUUCCACCUCCUGUUCUCUCCACACUCUUUCCUGCAUCAUUGCCAAAUGUUUCAAAGGAAUAGGUGUCUCAGGUGUUCUGAGUAGAGCCACUGCUCCCUUAAUCUUGGCUGCACAUCAGCAUCACCUGGAGAGUUUAAGCAACCACUGAUGCCUGGAUCCAGUCCCAGAGUGUGGACUGGGCAUUGGGAUGUUUUAGGAGUUCCUCUAGGUGUUCUUAAUGUGUGACCAAGGUUGAGAACUAAUUUGUCACCCUCUAGAACUUGCUCCAUCAGUCUCUACCCUUUGCCUACAGACUGAUUCUACUUCUCUUACCAGAUAUCAGUCCCUUAAGGGCAGUGUCCGUUUCCUAUUUAUUUUUAUAUAUUUUAUGGUUUACACAGGCAACAUAGUGAAUUCCCAAAUGAUUUAGUAAGUGAAAAAAGUAAUCAAAUCAAGAUGUUUACAGUGCUAAGCUCUUUUGUGACACCAUCACCCCCAGCCUAAAUUUCCAACUAUUUAUCCAUAGAUUCAAUAUUUCCAGUGGCAAGUCUGUUAUAGUUUGCUUUUCCUGAAAAUUCUUCUUUUCUUGGGUUUCCUACAUUGAUAAAUUGAAUCAUACACACCAAAUCACCUAAGCCAGAAAUCUGAGUCCCCUUUGAUUAUUUCCUCUUAUUUCCCACCACCAAUUGGUCUAUCCUGGCAAUUUCUUCUCUGAAACUGUUUCCUAUUUUUCAUUUUCAUCCUCUUUUUAAAAACAAAUUUUUUAACUUGAAACAAUUUACAAACUAAGAAAACUGUUGCAAGAAUAGUACAAAAACUUCUGUGUACCCUUUGCCUAGAAACCCCACUCAAACUUUGCCAAUUAUUCCAAUGUCUUUACAGCAAAAACGUCCCAGCCAAGAAAGAUCAUGUGCUGCAUCCAGUUAGCUUGUUGCUCAAUUCUCCUUCAGUCUGGAUCAAUUAUUCAGGCUUUUCUUGACACUAUUCCUUCCCCAGAGUUAGCCACUAUUUUUAAAUUGGUAUGAUUAAUAUCUGUUAUGUUUUUGUACUUUCACUGAAUUUAUAUGUAUCUAUGAAUGGUACUACUAUGUUAUAUUUUUAAACUGCAUAAAUGAUAUCAUAUAGAUAAAUCCUUUUGCAUUUAGGGGUCUAAUACUUCUAUUUGUGUAUUUGAUGACCUUUUUGUUUGUGGAUUGAUUCCUUUUGCUUUGUACAUUGAUUCCUUUUAGCUUUUUUUUUUAUGGCUCAUUUUUAGUGAUACAGAAAAAAAUGUUUCUUCUGUCAGAGACCCCUAAGGUUAUCACUGGCUAGUGAGCAAUUUUUACAUGAAUUUCUUUCUUGGCUUAGAAGUUCUAAGAUCAUUCAGAUAUUAUAAAUUUGAACCCAGAUUUGUGGGAGUACAAACUAUGAUUCAAAUUCUCAAGGGAGAGAGAUCUUCCUUGUUUUUUUCUCUUUCAGAGCUUGUGCCUUGACAGAAAAGCUUCUUACUAUGCCAGAAGAAAAGCUUCUAUCUAGUCUACCCUUUCAUUGAGGGUACAGAAUUUCAUGGGUUUUUAACUUAUGUGUGUGUGUGAGGUCAUGAAGUUGGGGGACAGGGUGUGCUCACAGUUAACUGAUUUCUGUUUGCACCAAGGGCCCAAGGUCUUAUCACAAGUUACCGUGUAUUUUUAAAAAUUAUAAAGGCCAGGCGCGGUGGCUCAUGCCUAUAAUCCCAGCACUUUGGGAGGCUGAGGUGGGUGGAUAACUUGAGGUCAGGAGUUCAAGACCAGCCUGGCCAACAUGGUGAAACCCUGUCUCUACUAAAAAUACAAAAAUUAGCCGGGUGUGGUGGUGGGUGCUUGUAAUCCCAGGUACUCGGGAGGCUGAGGCAGGAGAAUCACUUAAACCGAGGAGGUUGCAGUGAGCUGAGAUCACGCCAUUGCAUUCCAGCUUGGGCAACAAGAGCGAAACUCCAUCUUAAAAAAAAAAUUAAUGAAAAUUGACAAAUGAUAAUUGUAUAUACUGUAUUGUAUACAACCUGAUUUGUAAUAUGUAUACAUCUUGGAAUGGCUAAAUUGAGUGACUUAACAUAUGUAUUACGUCACAUACUUAUUUUUAUGGUGAGAACACUUAAAGUCUGUUCUUAGUGAUUUUGAAGAAUACAACAUGUUGUUAACUAUAGUCACUAUGUUGUACAAUAGAUCUCUUGAACUUAUUCCUCCUAUGUAACUGAAAUUGUAUAUCCUUUGACCAGCGUCAUCCAGCUCCCUCACUCUCUCCCAGCCCUUGCUAACCACCAUUCCACUCUUUGCUUCUAUUGAGUUCAACUUUUUUAGAUUCCAUAUUUAAGUGAGAUCAUGCAAUAUUCAUCUUUCUGGGCCUGGCUUAUUUCACUUAACAUAAUGUCUUUAAGGUUCAUCUAUGUUGUCACAAAUGACAGGAUUUCCUUCUUUUUAGAGGCUGAAUAGUUUUCCAUUGUAUACAUAUAUCACAUUUUUAAAAUCCAUUUAUCACCUCAUGGAUUUAAACAUUCAAGCACCAUCCUCAUUCAAUCCUUUCUCCUCUCCAGACAGGGUCAUAUUCUGUAUUCAAGACCCUGGUGUCCAGUUUCUUUUUUUAUUUUUGCCACCUGAAUAUUUCCCUGUCUUUUUUUUUGUAAGCUCAAGUAUGCAUUAUUAUUAAUUAAUUAAUUUAUUUUGCUGCAUUUUACCCAGCAUUUCUAAGUAUUUGUAGUAGAAGAGUUUUCAUGUUAUCUAGUCUGUAUUGAUUAAGGACUGCUUAUGUUCAGCUCAAGUAACAGAAACCUAGCUGUAGUGACUUACCCAAAUACUGAUUUAUUUUCUCACCCUCUAAGAAGUUCAGAGGUAGGCAGUCUUCUGUGUUUUUGUUUUUCUAUUCUUAUCAUGUAGCUUUCAUCCUAAUGUCUCAAGAUGGCUCCUGUAAUUCUAGGCAUUAAAUAUGUUUUUAAGGCAGAAAAAGGAUGAAAAGUAAAGGCAAAAGUACAUGCCAACUGAGUCUACUUCUUACUCCUUAAAUCAAGAAAACAGCUUUUUCAUAAACCCCACGUAGUAAACUUUGGUUUACAUCUCAUUAGCUAGAACUGGGUCGUUUAGUUCUCCGUAAAUGCAUUAGAGACUGAUAAAUGAAAUGUGCCCUGUUGAAAAAUAAGUAUUUCAAUUUUUUAUAUCUUUAAAAAAAUCUAUAUCAAAAAUACAUAUAUAUGUAUCUAUAUAUCUAUAUAUAUCUAUAUAUAGAUACAUAUAAAUUCAGUUGAAAGUAUACAAUCAUAAUAGAAAUUAGUAUUUUAUUUUUAAAUCUUUCUUUAUUUCUUAAACAGCACUUACUGUCAUCCUGAACAAAAAUGGGGUUUCUGUUAGCAAGGCAGAAAGAGAAUAGUUAUAGGGUAAGCAACUAUCAAUGUCUGCCAUGCUGCUGUAAGGCAAGAAUUGAAAGUCUCCCAUGCUCACUGAAACUUCCUUUCAGUUUUUAGACUGAUAAACAGGGCCACUUACAUAAUUCGCAGGGACCAAUGCAAAACGAAAAUAUGGAGCCCUUUGUUCAAGAGCAAAAGGAAAGUGCUGUUUAAAGGUAUUAAAAUAAAACUUUUUCCUUUAUUUUGUGAUCUCUUUUGACUUGUCAUUUUUUUAUUUGCUGUUUAAUGUCAUUCUAAGCAAAGAAAAGAUUAUAAUUUAAAUUAUUAGAAUGAUUUUUACCAUACAUCUUCAUGUUGUACAAUGACAGUGUUAUGUUAUGUUAUGUUAUGUUAUGUUAUGUUAUGUUAUGUUAUGUUAUGUUAUGUUAUGUUAUUUUUUGAGAUGGAGUCUCACUGUGUUGCCCAGGCUGGAGUGCAGUGGCACAGUCUUGGCUCACUGCAACCUCUGCCUCCCGAGUUCAAGUGAUUCUCCUGCCUCAGCCUCCCAAGUAGCUGGGAUUACAGGUGCCUGCUACCAUGCCCAGCUAAUUUUUGUAUUUUUAGUGGAGACGGGUUUUUGCCAUGUUGGCCAGGGUGGUCUCAAACUCUGUAAUCUGCCUGCCUCGGCCUCCCAAAGUGCUGUGAUUACAGGCAUGAGCCACCGCGCCCGGCCCUACAAUGCCAGUUUUAAAACAAAUAUAAGAGCAUUUCCCAGCCUCACUAAUUAUCAGGGAAAUGCAAAUCAAAACCGCAAUGCAAUACCACCUUACUCCUGCAAGAAUGGCCUUUAAUUAAAAAAAAAAAAAAGAUGUUGGCAUGGAUGUGGUGAAAAGAGAACACUUUCACACUGCUGGUGGGAAUGCAAACUAGUACAACCACUGUGGAAAACAGUGUGGAGAUUCCUUAAAGAACUAAAAGUAGGUCUACCAUUUGAUCCAGCAAUCCCCCUAUUGGGUAUCCACCCAGAGGAAAAGAAGUCAUUAUACGAAAAAGAUACUUGCACAUGCAUGUUUAUAGCAGAACAAUUCACAAUUUCAAAAAUAUGUAACCAGCUCAAAUGCCAAUCAAUCAACAAGUGGAUAAAGAGAAUGUUGUAUAUAUUUUCUGGAAUACUACUCAGCCAUAAAAAGGAAUGAAAUAAUGGCAUUCAUAGCAACCUGGAUGGAAUUAGAGACCAUUAUUCUGAGUGAAGUAACUCAGGAAUGGAAAACCAAGCAUCGUAUGUUCUCACUCAUAAGUGGGAGCUAAUCUAUGAGGACAUAAAGGCUUAAAAAUGUUUCAAUGGACUUUGGGGACUUGGAGGAAAGGGUUGGUGUGGGGGUGGGGCAUAAAAGACUACACAUUGGGUACAGUGUACAUUGCUCGGGUAACGGGUGCACCAAAAUCUCAGAAAUCACCAUUAUGGAACUUAUUCGUGUAACCAAACCCCACCUGUUACCCAAAAACCUAUUGAAACAAAAAAAUUAUAGAUAAAAAACAAAUAUAACAGCAUUUAAGAUGUAUGUAGAAUCAUUGAAAUUGUACAAUUUGUAUUUCACAGUACACGCAUGCAUAUGUAUUUUGUUCUUACUAAAACAGUGGAAAUGCGGCAUGAAACUAAAUCAAUUUUUAAAAAUUUUAUUUCUUGAUAUGUGCAUAUUCCACCAAUACUCUACUUUUGGCCUGCUGAUGAAGAGUAAGGAAGGACUGAAAGGAGGAGAAACUAUGGGUUGCCUUUUCCUUCUGUCAUCUGUUCAGCGUAAGUGGUUGGCAGCUUUAAAAAACCAUUUACUUUGUACUCUCAUUGGUCUUCUGGAAUUCACUACUCAUAGAUGUAUUGAAAACACUAUAUAUGAAUGGGGCCUCAAGGAACAGCAGCAGACAUGUGUCUGUAAGUGCUGAUGUAUAAAGAUUUCCAAGAUACCAUAUUAAUAAAAAAAGUGUAUGGAACAGUGUAUGGGUAAUUGAGUGUAAAUAAAAAGGAAUAUGUGUUAUAUAUAUAUGUAAGUACUUUGUAUAUGCAUAACUUGUAAAAUAAAAAUAAUUUUAAGAAACUACAUAUAGCAGUUACCUUUGGGGAGAAGGUAUGGGGUAAGGAGCGGGA